rnacentral:lncRNA from 1 species
AUCUCCUCACUAGACUCCUUGAUUAGAUGAUCUUGAACACCUUGGCCUUUACACCACAACUCGACAGACGAAGCCCAAGCUAGGUAGUUUGAACCUCCCAUUAAAGGUUCUGAGGUAAUCAUAAUACAUUAGAUGAUCUUGAACACCUUGGCCUUUACACCACAACUCGACAGACGAAGCCCAAGCUAACUAGUUGGAACCUUCCAUUAAAGGUUCUGAGGUAAUCAUCACCGGAAUUGCCAGAAGCCAGUUUUUAGGCCCGAAAGCAUCGACUCCCAAAGAUAUCGUGAAAACUUGCUGAAACAGAUGAAGGAAAUAUUGUUUUUGCCGGAAAAUUACUGUAGUUGCCGGAAAAAAUCACUAUAGAUGCCGGAAAAAAUUCAAUGUGGUCAGAAUUGAAAAGUAAAAAUAUGGGUAGGCUCGGAACUAUCGGGUGAACAGGCUGUCUCAAGAAAAUUUUUCCAAAAAGCUGCCGGAAAGUUGUUCACGCAUCGGCGCGUGGGCCUGACGCGCCGCUGGCGUCAGAGGAUCUGGAGGCGCGUGAGAGCGCGUGAGGAUGUGUCUGCCGGAGCUGUUGAGUGCGGUUUAGUCGCCAGACUAUGACGGAUGUUGUGGUAGUGUUGGAUUUUGCACAACACUGACGUGGAGAGAGAUAACGUAAAAAAGCUUUGAAAUAGUCGCCGGAAAAAUAAGGCACUGCUGACUUCUGCUUUGAAUUUUGGUUCCCGGAUGUAUCUCACCACUAAGGCUCUGAUACCAUGUGAAAAAGCACGGAAAAAUAUGAUAUAUUAUUGUUAAACAUGAUACAAUGAGCCCUAUAUAUACACAUAAUCUAUCCUGCAU